CAGGGUCAGUUUGAGUGACGGCAGCGAGAGCGACAGCUCCUCACCCUCACCCCCAUGCCGCAAUGAAGCCCCCCCCUUACUAAAGACUACUAACAACCAGAUCCUGGAGGUGAAGAGUCCCAGCAAGCAGGACAAGAACAGGAACUUAGAUUGUGACAAGGCGUACUGGACGAGCUGGUGGAACGCACAAAAGACUGAUGACGCUCAGAGAAGGUCAUAUCCUGCAACAGAUUGUGAACCUGAUUGAAGAGACGGGACACUUCCACAUCACAAACACUACGUUUGACUUCGACCUUUGCUCCUUGGACAGAA